ensembl:misc_RNA Metazoa_SRP Metazoan signal recognition particle RNA
GCCAGGCGUGGUGGUGCACGCCUGUAAUCCCAGCUACUCGGGAGGCUGAGGCAAGAGAAUCACUUGAACUCAGGGGGCAGAGGUUCCAGUGAGCUGAGAUCACGCCACUGCACUCCAGCCUGGGUGACAGAGUGAGACCCUGUCUCAA